GGGGUUGUGGCUCAGUGGCAGAGUGCUUGCCUAGCAUGCAUGAGGCCCUGAGUUCAAUCCUCAGCACCA
rnacentral:tRNA from 1 species